CAAAGAAAUAUAUAUUUAACGAUUUAUAGUAUCGCAUAAGGUUGGAAUUAAUCUGGGUACUUAGAAGAAUCAAAUAUGAAGAAAUUGAUGAUACAGACAAACUUAGAAUAUGUUUACGACAAGAAGCUGCAAGAUGGGCAUGUCUUCUUGAUGACAUCACUUGUAAGAAAGAAGCCAACAAUAAAUUAGAACAACAUCUUCAAGAUUUUGAAAAACACAAGGUUUUGCCAUGGUGGAAGGAAUGGACAUAUUGUAAAGGUUUGAUGAUAAAUACCAACAAACCGACUUGGGAAUCAGUGUAUGGUAUAGGUGUUGCAAAAAAAGACACUAAAUUUUUAGAAUACUUGGCUUGCACUGAAGAUGCUGAUAUGAUUAAAAACUAUUUAAGAUAUAAAUCUAUUUUUAAAAAAGAAAAUCAAUAUCUUCUUAACAGUUUCUUAUAUAUUAUUACGAAGCAUGCGAAUAAUCAAAUUAUUCUGAAGGACAUAUUAGAUAAUUUUGUGAACAUAAAACCAAAACAUGUUGAUAUAACUACAGCAAUAAUUAUUAUUAUUAAUAACGUAUAUUCCGUAAAUCUUCUAACUGAGGAAAUAAACGAACACGUUAAAUGGUUGAAGGUCAAUGCAAAGAUAUUAUUCGAUGAA